rnacentral:misc_RNA from 1 species
UAAAGUGCGAUAUGUAAUGUGAUCUGCAUGAAUCUGUGAGUCAUCAAAUUUUUGAACGCAACUUGCACCAUUUGGGCGACUAAAUGGUAUGUCUGUUUGAGAACCGUAAAACCAAUCACUACAAGUUUUUGUGGUGGAGCUGGGAUGCAAUGGGCAUUCUGAAAAGCAGCAAGAUAGGGGAAGAAUAGCUCUAAUUACGCGAUAGAGGCCCAAGGGUCUUUUUCGUAGUUGGAUAUAUUCUUCUCUUGAUUCCAAAAGGAAUCACUUUUUCUUUUUGGUCUCAAAUCAGGCAAGAUUACCCGCUGAACUUAA